rnacentral:rRNA from 1 species
CCGCCAAAGACGGUAACAGCCCGGUAGUUGAAAUGGCUUUCCCUCCAGAGUGGAUCCUGAGUACGGCGGAACACGUGAAAUUCCGUCGGAAUCCGGGAGGACCAUCUCCCAAGGCUAAAUACUCCCUAGUGACCGAUAGUGAACCAGUACCGUGAGGGAAAGGUGAAAAGCACCCCGGAAGGGGAGUGAAACAGUUCCUGAAACCGUGUGCCUACAAGUAGUUAGAGCCCGUUAAUGGGUGAUAGCGUGCCUUUUGUAGAAUGAACCGGCGAGUUACGAUUUGUUGCAAGGUUAAGCGGAAAAAGCGGAGCCGUAGCGAAAGCGAGUCUGAAUAGGGCGCAUAAGUAACAGGUCGUAGACCCGAAACCAGGUGAUCUACCCAUGUCCAGGAUGAAGGUAAGGUAAUACUUACUGGAGGUCCGAACCCACGCACGUUGAAAAGUGCGGGGAUGAGGUGUGGGUAGCGGAGAAAUUCCAAUCGAACUUGGAGAUAGCUGGUUCUCUCCGAAAUAGCUUUAGGGCUAGCCUCGAGGUAAAGAGUCAUGGAGGUAGAGCACUGUUUGGACUAGGGGCCCUUCUCGGGUUACCGAAUUCAGAUAAACUCCGAAUGCCAUGUACUUAUACUCGGGAGUCAGACUGCGAGUGAUAAGAUCCGUAGUCGAAAGGGAAACAGCCCAGACCACCAGUUAAGGUCCCCAAAUAUAUGUUAAGUGGAAAAGGAUGUGGGGUUGCUUAGACAACCAGGAUGUUGGCUUAGAAGCAGCCACCAUUGAAAGAGUGCGUAAUAGCUCACUGGUCGAGUGACCCCGCGCCGAAAAUGUACCGGGGCUAAACAUAUUACCGAAACUGUGGAUGAACCUCUUUAGAGGUUCGUGGUAGGAGAGCGUUCUAAGGGCGGUGAAGUCAGACCGGAAGGACUGGUGGAGCGCUUAGAAGUGAGAAUGCCGGUAUGAGUAGCGAAAGAAGGGUGAGAAUCCCUUCCACCGAAUAUCUAAGGUUUCCUGAGGAAGGCUCGUCCGCUCAGGGUUAGUCGGGACCUAAGCCGAGGCCGAUAGGCGUAGGCGAUGGACAACAGGUAGAGAUUCCUGUACCAGUGCUAAUUGUUUAACCGAUGGGGUGACACAGAAGGAUAGGGAAUCGCACGAAUGGAAAUGUGCGUCCAAGCAGUGAGUGUGAGAAGUAGGCAAAUCCGCUUCUCGCGAAGCAUGAGCUGUGAUGGGGAAGGAAAUUAAGUACGGAAGUUCCUGAUUUCACGCUGUCAAGAAAAGCCUCUAGGAAGAGUAGUACUGCCCGUACCGCAAACCGACACAGGUAGAUGAGGAGAGAAUCCUAAGGUGAGCGAGAGAACUCUCGUUAAGGAACUCGGCAAAAUGACCCCGUAACUUCGGGAGAAGGGGUGCUCUAUUAGGGUGCAAGCCCGAGAGAGCCGCAGUGAAUAGGCCCAGGCGACUGUUUAGCAAAAACACAGGUCUCUGCAAAACCGUAAGGUGACGUAUAGGGGCUGACGCCUGCCCGGUGCUGGAAGGUUAAGAGGAGUGCUUAGCUUCGGCGAAGGUACGAAUUGAAGCCCCAGUAAACGGCGGCCGUAACUAUAACGGUCCUAAGGUAGCGAAAUUCCUUGUCGGGUAAGUUCCGACCCGCACGAAAGGCGCAACGAUCUGGGCACUGUCUCAACGAGAGACUCGGUGAAAUUAUAGUACCUGUGAAGAUGCAGGUUACCCGCGACAGGACGGAAAGACCCCGUGGAGCUUUACUGCAACCUGAUAUGGAAUGUUUGUACCGCUUGUACAGGAUAGGUAGGAGCCGAAGAGACGUGUGCGCUAGCAUACGAGGAGGCAAUGGUGGGAUACUACCCUGGCUGUAUGACCAUUCUAACCCGCCACGCUUAGCGCGUGGGGAGACAGUGUCAGGUGGGCAGUUUGACUGGGGCGGUCGCCUCCUAAAGAGUAACGGAGGCGCCCAAAGGUUCCCUCAGAAUGGAUGGAAAUCAUUCGCAGAGUGUAAAGGCACAAGGGAGCUUGACUGCGAGACUGACAAGUCGAGCAGGGACGAAAGUCGGGCUUAGUGAUCCGGUGGUUCCGCAUGGAAGGGCCAUCGCUCAACGGAUAAAAGCUACCCCGGGGAUAACAGGCUUAUCUCCCCCAAGAGUCCACAUCGACGGGGAGGUUUGGCACCUCGAUGUCGGCUCGUCGCAUCCUGGGGCUGUAGUCGGUCCCAAGGGUUGGGCUGUUCGCCCAUUAAAGCGGCACGCGAGCUGGGUUCAGAACGUCGUGAGACAGUUCGGUCCCUAUCCGUCGCGGGCGCAGGAAAUUUGAGAGGAGCUGUCCUUAGUACGAGAGGACCGGGAUGGACACACCGCUGGUGUACCAGUUGUUCCGCCAGGAGCAUCGCUGGGUAGCUAUGUGUGGCAGGGAUAAACGCUGAAAGCAUCUAAGCGUGAAGCCCCCCUCAAGAUGAGAUUUCCCAUUUCUUCGGAAAGUAAGAUCCCUGAAAGAUGAUCAGGUAGAUAGGUUUGGAGUGGAAGUGUAGCGAUACAUGGAGCGGACAAAUACUAAUCGAUCGAGGACUUAACCAAAA